rnacentral:rRNA from 1 species
UACGAAGGACCCGAGCGUUAUCCGGAUUUAUUGGGUUUAAAGGGUGCGUAGGCGGACACGCAAGUCAGUGGUGAAAUCCCUCAGCUUAACUGAGGAACUGCCAUUGAAACUAUGUGUCUUGAGUACAUUUGAGGCGGGCGGAAUGUGUCAUGUAGAGGUGAAAUUCUUAGAUAUGACACAGAACACCAAUUGCGAAGGCAGCUCGCUAGACUGUAACUGACGCUGAGGCACG